UUAAUAAAUCUCCAUUUUGGUAAUUCCUCUACUAGCGUAUUUCUCACAAUUCACUGUAAUAGUAGAUGUGGAAAUAUUCGCUUCGGGAGAAUCAAAUAGAAGUGAGAAAGAGUAAGGCAGAAAAGCACAUAGGAGAAUGGAAGGAAGCUAGAUGUAAGAAGCAAAAGAUAGAUAAAGAGAGAGAAAGAGAAAAAGAGAGAAAAAGAGAGAUAGUUGUAUCAACGAGAUUGCACAUACAGAUGAAAGACAAAGAGAAAGAGAAGAGUCACGUUGGGUUGUAUCACUGAUUCUGGCUGGUGGAAAGAUGGCGGAGGGCGGAGCGGCAUCUAGAACUAACUUGUACCGGGUGGUACCGCAUCACUGUCAGCAAAAACCGCAUAAAACGGCACCAUUCGCUUCUCUGGUGUACCGACACAGGAGGGGAUUCUAGUUGCUCGUGGGGCAGGA